GUGGGGAAUAUUUGACAAUGGGCGAAAGCCUGAUCCAGCCAUGCCGCGUGUGUGAAGAAGGUCUUCGGAUUGUAAAGCACUUUAAGUUGGGAGGAAGGGCAGUAAGUUAAUACCUUGCUGUUUUGACGUUACCGACAGAAUAAGCACCGGCUAACUUCGUGCCAGCAGCCGCGGUAAUACGAAGGGUGCAAGCGUUAAUCGGAAUUACUGGGCGUAAAGCGCGCGUAGGUGGUUUUGUAAGUUGGAGGUGAAAUCCCCGGGCUCAACCUGGGAACUGCCUCCAAAACUGCAUGACUAGAGUACGGUAGAGGGUAGUGGAAUUUCCUGUGUAGCGGUGAAAUGCGUAGAUAUAGGAAGGAACACCAGUGGCGAAGGCGACUACCUGGACUGAUACUGACACUGAGGUGCGAAAGCGUGGGGAGCAAACAGGAUUAGAAACCCCUGUAGUCC
rnacentral:rRNA from 1 species